rnacentral:rRNA from 1 species
UCAUGCACGAGCGGAUGAAGGGAGCUUGCUCCUGGAUUCAGCGGCGGACGGGUGAGUAAUGCCUAGGAAUCUGCCUGGUAGUGGGGGAUAACGUUCCGAAAGGAACGCUAAUACCGCAUACGUCCUACGGGAGAAAGCAGGGGACCUUCGGGCCUUGCGCUAUCAGAUGAGCCUAGGUCGGAUUAGCUAGUUGGUGAGGUAAUGGCUCACCAAGGCGACGAUCCGUAACUGGUCUGAGAGGAUGAUCAGUCACACUGGAACUGAGACACGGUCCAGACUCCUACGGGAGGCAGCAGUGGGGAAUAUUGGACAAUGGGCGAAAGCCUGAUCCAGCCAUGCCGCGUGUGUGAAGAAGGUCUUCGGAUUGUAAAGCACUUUAAGUUGGGAGGAAGGGCUGUAGGCUAAUAUCCUGCGGUUUUGACGUUACCAACAGAAUAAGCACCGGCUAACUUCGUGCCAGCAGC